CGCUCUCUGGGGUGUGCGCCAGUCUUUGAAGUCCUCGAGCCUUACUUAAAAAACUGGAGGUUCCUCGCCUUUGAUGGCGAGCAAGUCCGUCUUCGAGCGGAAAGCCCGAUUCUUUGCAGGAACCACCACCUUGGACCUUUCGGUUCAAGGCCUUUCUCUGACAGCGGCACAGUGGAGAGCCC
rnacentral:other from 1 species